rnacentral:rRNA from 1 species
GACGAACGCUGGCGGCGUGCUUAACACAUGCAAGUCGAACGGAAAGGCCCUGCUUUUGUGGGGUGCUCGAGUGGCGAACGGGUGAGUAACACGUGAGUAACCUGCCCUUGACUUUGGGAUAACUUCAGGAAACUGGGGCUAAUACCGGAUAGGAGCUCCUGCUGCAUGGUGGGGGUUGGAAAGUUUCGGCGGUUGGGGCUGUACUCGCGGCUUAUCAGCUUGUUGGUGGGGUAGUGGCUUACCAAGGCUUUGACGGGUAGCCGGGCUGAGAGGGUGACAGGAGCCACUGGGAGUGAGAGACGGGCCAGACACCUACGGGAGGCAGCAGUGGGGAAUAUAGUGGAAUGGGCGCAAGCCUGAGGCAGAAACGCAGCGCGCGGGAUAACGGCCGUCGGGUUGUAAGCCGCUUUCGCCUGUGACGAAGCGAGAGUGACGGUAAUGGGUGAAGAAGCACCGGCUAACUCCGUG